ensembl:lncRNA
CGGAGUUUGUGUCAACGGACAUGGAGAUUAAUACAUCAUUAUUCCACGUAGUUACCCAGUGUCUGCCCCUCCUGUUGUGAUGCUGAGUUUGCCGACUGGAAAGAUAGGGCGAGAUCGCGAACGUCAGGUCUUCCCAGUAUGAAAAUGUGAUGCAAGGGCAACAGAAAUAAAUGAUGCGCAACUGGGACCACUGGCUGAUGUGAUUUAUUUGGACAAAACACAACACAAGGAGAGUACGAUUUACAUCUGUUACACUGGUGCCGUGACUCGUCUUCGCCGGACGUCACGUGGAGGGAUCCGAGACCCGGCUUCAGGAAGUACUCUGGUUGCUCAUGCACGCCAGAGGCCUAGGUUUCGCAUUCUGCACAAGUGGAAUUCUCAGGGAGCUCCUGAUAGCAUGAGUGAGUGGGGGAAAUAUAAUGUACUGUUUAUUACUUGUAUGUGGUGAUGCAAUGAUUAUUUAGUGAUGUAAUUGUGCUGUUACGCUAGUAACCUUCCGAAGCCCAUUAACGUGAGGGCGUCGCCAUUUUCUACCACACGGUGGCGACAACUAUUUAUUAAGGCGUUUCUUGUUACUUUUCUGUAUUGAUUCUUGGUCUUGUUAGACCACUACUACUGAACUUUUAUUUUGAGUGCAUUAUGUUCAAGCUGAUUUUAUAGAAGUGUUCAUAUUAAUUGUGAUUUUUUUUUUGACUUAAUAUUUACAUUAAAAAU